CUCGUAGGCGGCCAACUAAGUCAGACGUGAAAUCCCCAGGCUCAACCUGGGAACUGCGUCUGAUACUGGAUGGCUUGAAUUCGGGAGAGGGAUGCAGAAUUCCAGGUGUAGCGGUGAAAUGCGUAGAUAUCUGGAGGAAUACCGGUGGCGAAGGCGGCAUCCUGGACCGACAUUGACGCUGAGGAGCGAAAGCUAGGGGAGCAAACG
rnacentral:rRNA from 1 species